rnacentral:lncRNA from 1 species
UUCAUCCAAAAGGUCAGCCGAUGAUCUUGAAAUGAGACAUGCCCUGCUAUAUUAAUCCAAAUAAACCGAUAAGUACAAUAUCUAAAUCAAUGUUCGAAUUGCAUAUACAGCAAAUUAUGAUUCAACAACCCUUCACGAUAGAUGAAUAUAUAUACACGAUUAUUUACAGCAAUUACCAAGCUAACGGAAAACUAAACCACCUAAACUUAUGUAAUGCAAUGCAGAUCCAUCUAAAUCAUCUAGCAGACCGGAGUCAAUCGCAACAAACUUCACCACCUUCUUCAAUGCGAAAUGCAAGCAAUUCGACAUCGCGAUCCAACACAAAACCUCGUUGUUGUUCGGCUACUUCGGAUGGCGCGUUCUCACCGGACGGCUGAAAAUCAAGGGCGGCGAUGGUGGUUUGUGGUCAACCACCGGACGGCUGUUUCCGAUGGUGAUUUCACCAAAUCGGAAACUAAUUUUUGCUAUAAUUUCGAACAUACCUCUAUCAAACGGUUCAAACGUCUUCUCGAAACCUUGAACUUCUUCUUCAAAUCUUCUGAAAAUUUUUUGAAGCAGAGAUUAUGGCCGUUCGAAACCCUAUUCUAGAUGGAAGUUAAUCAGCUAGAAUAAUGGAGAGUAAAAUACGGAACUUCUGAAUUUACCUUCCGUGGAAAUUUCCCAAAAA